UACGGGAGGCAGCAGUGGGGGAUAUUGCGCAAUGGGGGAAACCCUGACGCAGCAACGCCGCGUGGAGGAUGACGGUUUUCGGAUUGUAAACUCCUUUUAUAAGGGACGAACUAAGACGGUACCUUAUGAAUAAGCUCCGGCUAACUACGUGCCAGCAGCCGCGGUAAU
rnacentral:rRNA from 1 species